GGGUUGAUUUAAGUUCACCAGGUUAUAAUUUUCAUUAUUAAUUUAUACGUGAUAUAUAAAAAAAUUAUAAAAAUUUUUUUAAGUUUAAAAUAGUUUUGUUUUAGUUAGAAUAUUAAUAUAUUGUCAGUACUGAAAAGGAAGGAAGUAGAUUUAAAGAUAGGAUUAUUUUUACCUUUAGUAUCAGGGACUUAUUAAAUUAUUAUUAUAUAAAUAUAUCUCGAACAGUAAAUAUUUAUUAAAAUUUGUUUAAAUAGUGUAGCAACAUUAUUAUUAAAAUUUUUAUGGAAAUUAUAUGUUUAUCGUUUUGCUUAUAUCUAGUUAUCUUGGAAUAAAAUUUAAUUUAUAAUUUAUUAACCUGUUUAAUAAGUUUAAAGUGAGUAAAGGAUAAGCUUUAUUUUUGUCAAUUUUAAGUUUAUACAGAUGAUAAAUAAGAAUAAAAGUAUCUUUUUUAAAAUAGUUUUAAAACAUUUAAUUUUAAAUUAGUAUUUAUAAAUUUAAUUUGUAUUUUAUAGGAUUUAAAAUUGAAUUGUUAUUUUAAAUAAUAAUAUAAGUAUUAUUAAAAGUUAUGGUUCAGUUAAAUAUUUACAAGAUUAUAUUAACUUAAAAUUUGCAUUAAUUUUCAAGGGAAUUUUAAUAAACUCGGCAAACAUUUUAAGUGCCUGUUUAUCAAAAACAUGUCUUAAGGAUAUUUAAUCUUGAGUCAGGCCUGCACCCUGAAAUUUAAAGAGCUGCAGUAUAUUGACUGUGCUAAGGUAGCAUAAUAAGUUGUUAAAUAAUUAUUAACUUGAAUGAAAGGUUUGACUCUUAGAGGCUGUCUCUGAUUUUUUUAUAAAUUUAAUUCCUGGUUAAAAUUCCAGGCUGAACUUAAAAGACGAUAAGACCCUAUAAAAUUUCAUUAAUUUUAUUUGAUUAUUUUUAGUUUAAGAUUAAUUUGGUUGGGGCGACUGGUAUAUAAAUUUUAACUGUUCUAAUUUAAACAUAUUAAUUGAUUUAUAAGACCCUUUAUAGAUUUUUAAAAAAAGUUACUUUAGGGAUAACAGCGUAAUUCUUUUUAGAGUUCUUAUCGAGUAAAGAGUUUGCGACCUCGAUGUUGAAUUAAGAAGUCCUCACGGAGCAGAAUCUGUAGGGGGUAAUCUGUUCGAUUAGUAAUUUCUUACAUGAUUUGAGUUCAAACCGGUGCAAGCCAGGUUGGUUUCUAUCUUUAAUUUUUAUUUUUAUUUUUUUAGUACGAAAGGAUUUAAAAAUUAAAAUAAUUUUAUUUAGAAGAAUAAUUUUAAAUGUUUUUCUAUAAUUUUAAGUUUACAAGUUUGACUUAUCUUAUGUUUUCAAAACAUAU
rnacentral:rRNA from 1 species